UCCGCCUUUUAUUUUAUAUAAUACAAUUCUCUUAAAAGCGAGCAGACAGCCGCGUCCAUUCUCUUUCGCGAACAAUUAAAUCCUAAGAUUAGCCCUCGAGAAACGAGCACCGGUUUACGAAACCAGUCCGCGAAUGGCAGCCGCGUUGGCAACCGACUCGAGAAACGCUGGUCCAUAGCGUAUUUUUGUUCCGUUUAAAUCUGACAAGAAUAGAAGAGGACGUGAAGGCAAUGCAAAUGGCACGUACGAAUUCGUAGGUCUUCAAGAAAUUCGUCCAACUUGGUGUCAGCGAGGAAAGAGAGGAUCCAGCUGCUUCUCCGGAAGGUUAAAAAAGAUGCACAAAAGCCAUGUUUUCUCGUUCGAUUCCUUCCGGAUAUUUACAAAUUAAUAAUCGUCAACGUUUUGCGAUUUCCGUCGUAAGAGAUCAGCCGUCCAUUGCUGCUUCACUCUCUCGUAAGGUGAAAAUCAGGACAACAACCCACGAGGAACAUGCAGGAGCUGCACGGGAUAUCGAUCGACCCCCGGGCUAUUCUGGAUAACACCCACGCACACACAGAUGCGCGUAGGUCGGGCUGGGAUGGAAUCAGGUCGGCUGGAAGGAGAUCUCCGUGCGAAAGUGGCUUGCGGUCUCGCUUGCGACCGUCCAGCAA